rnacentral:lncRNA from 1 species
CUUUAUUGAAUUAUUUCAUUGAUAACAGAGCAAGUCAGAACAAUUAGGAGUUAUAGAUUUGAAGAGAGUUUUGUUUCUUCAUUUCUUUACCUAUCUGGUUUACAUCUCCAUUCUUCCCACUGACCUAAGGUUACCAAAUUAGGUAUAUGCAAUACUUGAAGAAGUCUCUCUUUUUUUGGAAGAUACUGAAUCAAAAUUAUAAAGGUACUUAUAAGAAUAAAUGUGAUUCUCAUAAAACAAAGAAUUCAAUUUUCAGAUAUUGGGUUGAACCAAAUCAUUUACUUUGAUGGAGAAUCCAGUUCUUUUUUAAGUUCCCCCUCAAAAUCAAUACAUGGCAACAAAUUAAGCCACUUAGACAAAAAGGCCUCAUGCUACAUAAAUAAAAGUGACUCUUUCCCCAUCAUUAGUGAGGAUUAUACAGUAAAGAGUAAUUCACACUGGGUAUGCAUGAGUUUCAUUCUUCCAUCAUGAACUACACUGAACUAAAAUUCAAAAUGCUGUGACUCACAUGGUUAUUACUGAACACUUAAUAUUAAGUGGAAAACACAAGAUAAAUCCAGAUAAUCCCAUUUUGAGAGUUACAGAUGAAUUUUGCUUAGAGUUAUAUACUUUCUAUCAAAAAAAAAAAGCCCAUUUCUUUAUUAGAAAAGUCUUACAUGCUAUUUUUAGAAUGAUAAAGAAUUUAAAAUGCUAAACACUUGAUAUCUUUUA